AUUGAACGCUGGCGGCAGGCCUAACACAUGCAAGUCGAGCGGAUGAAGGGAGCUUGCUCCUGGAUUCAGCGGCGGACGGGUGAGUAAUGCCUAGGAAUCUGCCUGGUAGUGGGGGAUAACGUCCGGAAACGGGCGCUAAUACCGCAUACGUCCUGAGGGAGAAAGUGGGGGAUCUUCGGACCUCACGCUAUCAGAUGAGCCUAGGUCGGAUUAGCUAGUUGGUGGGGUAAAGGCCUACCAAGGCGACGAUCCGUAACUGGUCUGAGAGGAUGAUCAGUCACACUGGAACUGAGACACGGUCCAGACUCCUACAGGAGGCAGCAGUGGAGAAUAUUGGACUAUGGGCGAGAGCCUGCUCCAGCCAUGCCGCGUGUUUGAGGAAGGUCUUCAGAUUGUAAAGCACUUUAAGUUGGGUGGAAGCGCAGUAAGUUAAUACCUUGCUGUUUUGACGUUACCAACAGAAUAAGCUCCGGCUAACUACGUG
rnacentral:rRNA from 1 species